AAGAAGAAGAAGAAGAAGAAUCUAGCUCAGUGAAAUAUUAGUUUUAGGUGUAGGAAGUGGUCCAACAACAAUCGUGUAGGGUAACAUCGUAAAUCGUGCGAAAGCGCAGGAGAGAUUCGAAUAAACAAACACAAAGUAGCAGAAGCAAAAAGGUAAACAAAGAGGAAAAAAAAAGAGAAAAAAAAAAUCUCUGGCGAUUCCAGAAACAACAAAUUUUCUAUAGUUACUGUUGAAUCGAAAAAAAAGAAAUAUAAUAUAA